UCAGUUUUUCAACUUCUGAAGGAUUAUUAACUUCAAAGUGUGAAGAAAUGUCGGCCUUCUAUGUUUGGAAAUGCCAGCAGCCUUUGCAUAUCCCCACUGCAGUCCCAAGCAACCCCCAGCAGAGAGGAACGAUUACUGCCUCAGUGGUGUAAGGAUGGCUUUUGAUCUCCUAACAUAUUGGAAAUUACUUAAAGGUGGAUUUAUUUGUGAAAUUUUGAAUAUGGCAAAAGGCAUGCUCAUCACUACUAAGAAGCCUUGCUACCCAACAAACAUUCACAAUCCUGCUGUGGUUUAGAAUCAAAAAUACUCAAUCAAUGCAAAUGGUAUAUGCCUUCUAAUAUGUUCUAGAGUACACUGACUUCAGAUUUUCAGCAAGUCAAAAUGGACUGUGUCCCCCCAAGAAACUGGUAUGGCACCUAUCAGAAUAUUUGGCCAAAAGGAUGCAAAUGAGUUUCAAGGACAAUUUAAUAGCAGAGAAUCUGUGAGAUUUGAUCCCUUGAAUCUCAGCUCACCACUGUAGGAUGCUACUCGUCUCACAAGACCUUGGAAGUCUAACAGCCAUGUUUCAUGCAUGAAGAAUUUCCACACAGUGAUCCAGCAGAUUAAAAUCCCUCACACUCUCUGUUCUUGGCCUGAAAGCUGAUGAAAACGAAUCAAGAAAAUGUGUAGUGAGUUGAGAUGCAAAUAUUAGAUAGUUUUAGUGCUCAUAGAGCUUCUGAAUCUUUAUUUGUAAUAUUAGAAACAGUUAAACAGUUUAACAGUCAUCUUUCUCUGCCAUGAACUAGGAAAAUAAUGUCUUGAACAUGAGUGAAUGCUCACUGCUUAUGUAUGCCUGUGUAAGAAUCAAUAAAUGUUUU